rnacentral:lncRNA from 1 species
GUCAUAGCGACUUUUGGGAUAGUUUGCUAUCGACAAAGGGAGACAAAGUCAAGGGGUGAAGGGAAAGGAGGGCCAAGUAGAGCCUCCACGACCCUCGGCUUCCUCCUCACCAGCUCCCCCUCCCUCCAAGUCCAGUAAGAAGUUGGGCCAAGCUGGAAGGGAUUGACCGGGUUGCUUGUCUGGAGAUGGAGCCACUACAGGCGGGCCUGGGCGCCUGGAGUCGGGCAUGAAAGAAAAUAGCGCCUCAUCGCUCUUAUCUAAGCCCAGAGGUAGACUUCGCUUGAAAAGAUCGAGAAUGGAGGAGGGGAUCGGCACUCACUUGCAGACAUCAACAGUUUCCAGAAAAUUCGGUUCAAUUCCUUCACCACGGACCCACCAACCAAGGAGCUGGCAAAACCCACUAACCAACCAGGAGAACACAGACCCGGUUUGUCUUUUGACAACCGAGUGGAACUGACGGGGCCGGCGCCUGCCCUGCGGGUCCCCUCCCUUGGCUGAGAAGAAAACCAAAUAAACCUUGAACAGCCUUGGCUUCGAAAAAAAAAAAAA